rnacentral:rRNA from 1 species
AAUAUUGCACAAUGGGCGAAAGCCUGAUCCAGCCAUGCCGCGUGAGUGAUGAAGGCCCUAGGGUUGUAAAGCCCUUUCAACGGUGAAGAUAAGGACGGUAACCGUAGAAGAAGCCCCGGCUAACUUCGUGCCAGCAGCCGCGGUAAUACGAAGGGGGCUAGCGUUGUUCGGAUUUACUGGGCGUAAAGCGCACGUAGGCGGAUUGUUAAGUGAGGGGUGAAAUCCCAGGGCUCAACCCUGGAACUGCCUCUCAUACUGGCAAUCUAGAGUUCGAGAGAGGUGAGUGGAAUUCCGAGUGUAGAGGUGAAAUUCGUAGAUAUUCGGAGGAACGCCAGUGGCGAAGGCGGCUCACUGGCUCGAUACUGACGCUGAGGUGCGAAAGCGUGGGGAGCAAACAG